rnacentral:rRNA from 1 species
CCUACGGGUGGCUGCAGUGGGGAAUAUUGGACAAUGGGGGCAACCCUGAUCCAGCCAUGCCGCGUGUGUGAAGAAGGCCCUCGGGUUGUAAAGCACUUUCAGUGAGGAAGAACGCCUGGUGGUUAAUACCCAUCAGGAAAGACAUCACUCACAGAAGAAGCACCGGCUAACUCCGUGCCAGCAGCCGCGGUAAUACGGAGGGUGCGAGCGUUAAUCGGAAUUACUGGGCGUAAAGCGCGCGUAGGUGGCUUGAUAAGCCGGUUGUGAAAGCCCCGGGCUCAACCUGGGAACGGCAUCCGGAACUGUCAAGCUAGGGUGCAGGAGAGGAAGGUAGAAUUCCCGGUGUAGCGGUGAAAUGCGUAGAGAUCGGGAGGAAUACCAGUGGCGAAGGCGGCCUUCUGGACUGACACUGACACUGAGGUGCGAAAGCGUGGGUAGCAAACAGGAUUAGAUACCCGAGUAGUC